GCGUCUGAUUAGUUAGUUGGUGAGGUAACGGCUCACCAAGGCAGCGAUCAGUAGCCGACCUGAGAGGGUAAUCGGCCACAUUGGAACUGAGACACGGUCCAAACUCCUACGGGAGGCAGCAGUGGGGAAUAUUGCACAAUGGGCGCAAGCCUGAUGCAGCAACGCCGCGUGAGCGAAGAAGGUCUUCGGAUCGUAAAGCUCUGUCCUUAGGGAAGAAACAAAUGACGGUACCUGAGGAGGAAGCCCCGGCUAACUACGUGCCAGCAGCCGCGGUAAUACGUAGGGGGCGAGCGUUAUCCGGAAUUAUUGGGCGUAAAGAGUACGUAGGUGGUUUUGUAAGCGUGGGGUGAAAGACCGAAGCUUAACUUCGGUUAGCCUUGCGAACUGCAAGACUUGAGUGCAGGAGAGGAAAGUGGAAUUCCUAGUGUAGCGGUGAAAUGCGUAGAUAUUAGGAGGAACACCAGUGGCGAAGGCGACUUUCUGGACUGUAACUGACACUGAGGUACGAAAGCGUGUGUAGCAAACAGGAUUAGAUACCCUGGUAGUCCACGCCGUAAACGAUGAGCACUAGGUGUCGGGGUCGCAAGGCUUCGGUGCCGCAGUUAACGCAUUAAGUGCUCCGCCUGGGGAGUACGCACGCAAGUGUGAAACUCAAAAGGAAUUUGACGGGGACCCGCACAAGCAGCGGAGCAUGUGGUUUAAUUUCGAAGCAACGCGAAGACCUUACCAGGCUUGACAUCCCUCUGACCGGGCCGGUAACGCGGCUUUCCCUUCGGGCAGAGUGACAGGUGGUGCAUGGUGUCG
rnacentral:rRNA from 1 species